rnacentral:misc_RNA from 1 species
CUUUUGGUAUUAUGAACAAGCAACAAUUAUGUAAUCGCACUCACAUUUGUAUGUAAUUCAUGCCAACUACAAAAAUUAGAAUGCAAGAAUCCUUGUUUGUAAUAGGCAAAUAAAAAAUACUGCAACAGAAAUUAAAAAUAUAUAAUUUACAGUUGAAAUUGGAAACCCAAAUGGCAAUAGGUAGCAAGAAGUAUGAAGUGACAGACCUGCAGUUCUUUUGUAAGUCAAGUCAGCCAUGGACCAAUUAAGAAGAGCAAAAGUCUUGGUAAGUUAAUCAAAGUUUGUCCGAGUCUUUGUAGCUAGUUUUGCUUGUCCAAUUAACUCUUACCAGUUUUCCCUCCAUACUCACCCCCAUAGCAAACAGAAGAAACCAUUGCUGAAGCGUUGAUGGGAGGGCCUUUUCUCUCUGCUUUCCUUCAGGUUUUGUUUGACAGGAUGGCAUCUCCUGAGGUUGUAGACUUCUUCAGGGGCCAACAACACAAUGAUAAAUUGCUGGACAAGUUGAACAUAAUGAUGAAUUCUGUUUGUGGUGUGCUCAAUGAUGCAGAGGAGAAGCAGAUCAUGAAGCUAGCCGUGAAAAAGUAGCUUGACGAGCUUAAAGAUGCGGUCUACGAAGCUGAUGAUUUAUUGGAUGAGGUUGCUUACAAAGCUCUAUGGUCGAAGCAGGCAGCUGGACCUCGAACUUAUGCAUAUCAGGUAUGGAACUUUUUCUCUUGCCAUAAUCUGCUUAAAAAGGGAAUGGAAGGAAAGUUAGAAGAGAUUCUUGAGAGACUGGAGUUUCUAGUAAAACAGGAGUGCCCUUGGUCUGAGAGAGGGUAUUGGAGAAAAGACAUCUUUAGGAAAAAUGCCAACAACUUCUUUGGUAGUUGAAUCAGGUGUUUUCGGUAGGGAUGAUGAUAAAGAAGCUAUAAUGGAAUUACUGCUAUCAAAUGAUUCAAAAGGCAAUCACCCAAUUGUGAUUCCCAUUGUAGGUAUGGGUGGGGUUGGAAAAAACCACCCUUGCACAACUUCUCUACAAUGACAAGAGAGUAGAAGAGCGGUUUCAACUUAAAGCAUGGGUUUGUAUUUCAGAAAAAAUUGAUGUCUCCAAGUUGACAAAAGAUAUUCUCAAGGAAGUAACUCAGAAGACUUGUGAAACUAAGAAUCUAAAUCAGCUUCAACUUGAGCCCGG